rnacentral:rRNA from 1 species
CUACGUGCCAGCAGCCGCGGUAAUACGUAGGUCCCGAGCGUUGUCCGGAUUUAUUGGGCGUAAAGCGAGCGCAGGCGGUUAGAUAAGUCUGAAGUUAAAGGCUGUGGCUUAACCAUAGUACGCUUUGGAAACUGUUUAACUUGAGUGCAAGAGGGGAGAGUGGAAUUCCAUGUGUAGCGGUGAAAUGCGUAGAUAUAUGGAGGAACACCGGUGGCGAAAGCGGCUCUCUGGCUUGUAACUGACGCUGAGGCUCGAAAGCGUGGGGAGCAAACAGGAUUAGAUACCCUGGUAGUCCGCGCCCUAAACGAUGUCAAUUAGCUGUUGGGCAACUUGAUUGCUUAGUAGCGUAGCUAACGCGUGAAAUUGACCGCCUGGGGAGUACGGUCGCAAGAUUAAAACUCAAAGGAAUUGACGGGGACCCGCACAAGCGGUGGAUGAUGUGGAUUAAUUCGAUGCAACGCGAAGAACCUUACCUGGUCUUGACAU